UAUCACAAAUUUAUCCAUAAUAUAUCCUGGCUUUUUCUUGACAAUGCUUUAAAAAUUGUAAUACGUAUAAAAAAUUCUUAAAAUUAAACAUCUUUUUUAAAUAAAUGAGACAUUUUUCUUGGCAUGUGGACUUAUAUGUCCAUGAAGGUAAGGACAUUUUAGCACUUGUCAAUAUUCUCUAUCAAAAUCAUUACCAAGAAGGACUCUAGGAGUGAUCCCUGGGAAGGAUUCCUGGGAAGGGGAAAUAGAAUAGAUAUUGCAUCUAGUCUAGGGACAGGUGGGGAUGUUAACAGUAAGGAUCAGGUCAGGGAUGGCAGGAUGGAGGGGGAGAGAAUGGAGAGAGAUGACUGGAAUUGGAGGUACUUAGAGAAACUUAAUAUAGUGGAAACUUUCUGGAACCUAUAAAAGUGACCUUAGCAAGAACUGCUAGUAUUAGGGGUAUGGAACCUGAAAAGGCCAUCUUCUGCAUCCUGGCAAGACUUCCAGUGGUGGGACUGGGACACCAACCCAGACCCAAACCUUUAACCUACAAACAGUCCUACCUGCAAGAUGUGCUGGGGAAAGGGUGGCUCAGGGUGUGUAUAGUGGCCAACCAAUGACUGGUCUAGCUUGAGGACCACUCCACAAGACACAUGACUUACACUGGAUGGAUGACCAGGAACUGUAAACUGGAUAGCUUGGAGACAUAGCAUCGAACCAAUCACAACUGCAAAAAAAAAAAAAAAAAAAAAAGGCAACGAAAUUAUUUCUAAUGAUAUUCCUCCGUUAUGACUGAUCAGUGCUCAGUCAUAAUCAAAGUGGCUCCUUCCAGCAGCAGAUCGGAAACCCACACCCGAACAUUAUGCUGAGAAAGAGGCUAAGGUGGAGGUUUCCAUCAGCUUUUUCCUGCAGAUAUCCAGGAACCCCACAGAAGAGGGAAGGAAGGGAUUUUAGAAGCUAGAAGAAUGGAGGAUACCAGGACAGCAGGGCCUGUAUAAUCAACUAAGCAAAGCUCAUAGCAGCUCACAGAGAGUCAUGCAGAAAUCAGGGAGUCUGCAUUGGUCUGGGCUAGCCUCUGCAUGCAUUGUAGCUAUUUAUCCGGGGAUUUUGUGGAUCUCCUGUAAGAAGGAGGAGGUAUGUUUCUGACUUUUUGCCUGCCCUUGGGACGCUUUCCUCCUGUUGAAUUGCCUUAUCCAACCUUCAUAAGAACUGUGGGGGAGAGAGAAAGACAGGGUCUAGGGUGGAAAGUGAACUAGGAGUAGUGGUCAAAGUGGAGACUUGGCAAAUAUGAGGAGGUUGGGGCAACCUAAGGUGUUGGUCAUCACUUUCUGCAAGUUUUUUCUGUUAUCUUGCCUGCACACACCAAUUUAGCUAACUCACUAGCUCCUGGAAUUCAUCUGUCACAGAGAACCAUUGAGGAUUAGAGCAGUGUGCAGUACCUAGCUUUACAUGGGUUUGGGGAUUUAAAUGAAGCACCCCCAGCCUUGUGCUUUACCCAAGUGUGUCAGAUUUCCACCUAACAUUUUAUUUUAAGCAAAAACUGCCGUGAUCACGACUGUUGUCAAUAUUUUCAUGGAAGGAAUAACGACACAGUAACUGUAAACAUAGUAGAAUAAAAUAUUGACGAAUGUUUGAUUAAGAGGCUCUUUUAGAGCCUCUGGUGUGAUAUGGCUCUUUCUCCUAAAAAGUAGAGUAAACCUGCUUCAGGACUCUGCAAAAUCCCAUUGGUGUUGUACAGAGGCUCACACACUACAGGGGUAAAUCUCAGAUAGAGUUUACACUUUAUGAUAUUUGAAUAUAAUGGUGGAUAUUUUUUCUGUGAUUCAUCAGUAAUGUCUUAAAAGUAUCAUUUGGAUAUUAGUUCUACUCUUAUUUUUCUCCAUCUAUAAAUCUGAUACAUUUUGCAUUUCAGGUUAUUUUUUCCUGUUACUUUUAAACUUUGUUACAUAUGAGAUCAACUAUCUUAGGAAUGUUUCAUUCAACCUAGAAGGCAGUAGCUCUCACCUUGUAGUUGCAACUUCUUUGGGGUUGAAUGACCCUUUCACAGUUGUCACCUAAGAACAUCAGAAAACAUAGAUAUUUACAUUAUGACUCAUUAAAGUAGCAAUACUUAAGUUAUGAAAAAGCAAUGAAGAAUUUUAUGGUUAGAGGUCACCAGGACACGAGGAACUAAAGGGUCACAGCAAUAAGGAGAUUGAGAACCACUGGUAUUAGCUGAAUCUGUCUUCAUUUGCAGUCUGCUACGUCUUGAGUAUUUUCUUCCCCAAGGGAUAGGAUAAGAAUUUCCCUCAGAAUAAAAAUGAAUGUGCUGUAAUACUCGACCUCAUUUCUAUUUUCCAAAUCCUAUGAAUCAGAGCCUUAUGCAGAGGGGUCAUGUUGUAUGCAAAUGUACCGAUGAUGCAGACCAUCCUACCAUCAAGUGUUAUCUGCAUUUUGACAAGUUGUGCCACUUGUAACUUAUUUUAAUAAUAAUAUACAGUUCAUAAGUAAUACUUAUCCGUGAUACCUAAACUUCAAAUUUUGUUAAUAAGUUUCUGUAAAUUUUCCUCUGUAAUUAUGUGCAUAGUGUGUUUUCUAUUGCAUUAAAAAUUGGAAGAAC
rnacentral:lncRNA from 1 species